UACGGGGGGGGCAAGCGUUGUUCGGAAUUACUGGGCGUAAAGGGCGCGUAGGCGGUUGGAUAAGUCAGCUGUGAAAACCACGGGCUUAACCUCGUGGCCUGCAGUUGAGACUGUCUGGCUUGAGUGUGGGAGAGGAGAGUGGAAUUCCUGGUGUAGCGGUGAAAUGCGUAGAUAUCAGGAGGAACACCGGUGGCGAAGGCGGCUCUCUGGACCACAACUGACGCGAGGCGCGAAAGCUAGGGGAGCAAACAGG
rnacentral:rRNA from 1 species